rnacentral:rRNA from 1 species
AUACGUAGGUGACAAGCGUUAUCCGGAUUUACUGGGCGUAAAGGGCGUGUAGGCGGUCUUGCAAGUCGGAAGUGAAAUUCCUGAGCUCAACUCGGGCGCUGCUUCUGAAACUGCAGGACUUGAGUGCUGGAGGGGAUAGCGGAAUUCCUAGUGGAGCGGUAAAAUGCGCAGAUAUUAGGAAGAACACCGGUGGCGAAGGCGGAUAUCUGGACAAUAACGGACGCUGGGGCUCGAUAGCGUGGAGAGUAAACAGGUUGAGAUCCCCGGGAUGUCCACGCCGUAAACGAGGAAUACUAGGUGUAGGUGGUAUCGACUCCCUCUGUGCCGCAGGUAAAACAAUAAGGAUCCCGCCUGGGGAGUAAGGCCUCAAGGUUGAAGCUCAAAGGAAUGUAUGGGG